ensembl:lncRNA
AAUUGAUUAUGGAUUUUUGUGUACUAGUUUUAUUCUUUAACCUUGCUAGUUUAUUCAUCCUAACAGGUGUGUGUGUGUGUGUGUGUGUGUGUGUCUGUCUGUCUGUCUGUCUGUCUGUCUUUGGAUUUCCUAGCAGUUGCUAUACAUGGGUCCUGACAUCUUUGAAUAAGGACAUUUUCUUCCUUUUCAAUCUCCAUGACUUAUCUUUUUCCUUAUUGCUCUGGCAAGACCCUUCAGUACAUUGUUGAAAACAAGCGGUGAAGGUUGACCUUAUUUUUUUUCCUGAUACAAGGGGGGGAAUAUUUAGUUUUUCAUUAUUAAAUAUGGUAUCUGUUGUAGGUUUGUCAUAGGUUGUGGACUUUAUAAAUGUAAGACCAUUUCCAUUGUUAGUUUGAGAAUUGUUACCAUGAAUGGAUAUAGGGGCUUAGUGAAAUGGUUUUAAUAUGUUUUCACUGAGCUGAGCCUGUGGCUUUUGUCAUUUAUUUUAUGGAUAUGGUAUAUUACAUUAAGUGUUUUUUGGAAGUUAGACCAAGCUUGGAUUUCUGGGAUAAGUUACACUGUGUCAGAAUGUGUCACUGAAUUUGAUUUGCUAUUAUUUUAUUAGUGAAUUUUACAUUUAUAUUUUUAUGAGGACUAUUUUCUUGUGAUGCCUUUGUUUUCAGUAUCAGGGUAAUUGGGCUGUAUUAAUUUUCUGUUGCUGCUAUAACAUUAUUACAAACUUAAUGACUUAAGAGCAACGCCAUUUACUAAAACUACACCAUUUACUGAAACUACACUGUUUAUUCAGUUUUGGUGGAUCAGAUUUGAUAUUUGGUUCAGCUGGUUCUUUCUCCGAUUAAUCUCACAAGGCUGAAAUCAAGUUGUUGGCAGCAUUUUGUUCCUUUUAGGAGGCUCUAAAGGAGAACUCACUUUCAGGCUUAGUCAAGGUGUUGGCUGAAUUCACUUCCGUGCAGUUGUAGGACUUGAGGUUUCUAUUUCUUUACUGGCUACUAGCCUGGGGUUAUUUGCAGCUUCUAAGGCUGUCUGCAUUCCCUGGCCUUGUGGCUCCUUGAAAGCCAAUAGCAGGUUAGAUUUCUUUCCAGUUUCAAAUUUCCCUGACUUUCUCUUCCAUAUUUCUGAUACAUGAUUCUUAACUCCAGCCAGAGAAAUUUCUCCCUUUGUAGUGUAGUGUUCAUGUGAUUAGAUUGGGCCCACCUGGAUACCCCAGGCUAAUCUCGUUAAGGAAUGUGACCUUAAUUACAUUUGCUAAGUCCUUGCACAGCAGUACUUAGAUUAUGUUUGAAUGAAUAACUAGGGGACAGGAACCUUGAAGAGAUAGCUUUGGAAUUCUGCCUACUAUACAGUCCUCAUGGAAUUAAUCAGGGGAUUGAACCCAGGGCCUUGACAGAUACUAGGGAAGUACUCUACAACUUAGCUACAGCUACAGUCCUUUUUGUUUUGAGACAGGAUCUAAUUUGUCCAGGGUGAUCUGGAGCAUGUGAUACUCCUACCUUAACCUCCUGAGUAGCUAGGAUUACAGGUGUGUUCCACCAUGUCCAACUUCUUAAAUUAGUUCAGACUAUAGAUUUAAUAUUUUUCUUCUUUUCUGCUAUAAGUGUUUAAAACACCGUUUUAGUUAUAUCUCAUACAUUUUGAUGUUUUGCAUUUAAUUUCAUUCAGUUCAAAACUAUUUUCUAAUUUACUUUGUGAUUUUUUUUUUUGGUACUGGGGAUCAAACUUGGGACCUUGCACUUUUGAGGCAGGCAGUGGAACCACUGAGCUAAAUCCCCAGCCCUGUGAUCUUUUUCUUUGAUCUGUCGGUUAUUUUAAAGUAUGUGAUUUAAUUUUGAGAUAAGUACUUGGAGAUUUGUCAUACUUCUUCUCUGCUUUGGAGUUUUUAAAAAUUCUGUUGUUACUGGAGAACCUACUUGUAUGAUUUUAAUCAUUUUAAAUUUAUUGAUGAUUUCUUAUAGCAUAUCAUAGGGUUUGAUGGACUUUUUCUGGAAAGGGCCAUAUAGAAAAUAUUUUAGGGUUUUUGGUCCAUGUGGUCUGAGUUGCACCUGCUCAUUUUUACUGUCCUAGUGCAAAAACAGCCAUAAACUAUACAACACAUAAACCAGUGAGCCUAUCUUUGUUAGAAUAAAACAAAAAUCAGGGCUGGGUUUGACCUGGCCAUAGUGCACUAACCCUAACUUUUUCACCAUUGGGCCCUCAUAUCUUUUCUUGUAUGCAAGCUUGUGGUCAGCCAGAGAUGUCUGACUUUCUGCAGUAUCUCCAUCCUGAUGUGUGGAACACUUAGCGAGGUUCCUCAGAGUUUCAUUUCCAGAUUUGCCCUUUAGAUUUCUGUCUCAUUUCCUGGUUCAUUGCUUGCACUAUGACAGCAACCUCAGGCUGAUGGAUCCUUGGUCUUGCUUGUUGCCAAAAAUAUAAGCUCUUACUGACACUGCGAUGAAUGUGGGGGUUUUCUGUGCUUUGCUUCAUGCCAAAUGAGCUCCCUCUGUGGUGGAAGCUGCUGGUUUUCAUGGCUUUCCCCACCUCAGUGGAACUACCUUUCCCACUAACCUGAGAGUGUUUAAAGGGAACAGCCCCAGGUAAUAAUGCCACAUACACCCACUAUUCUAACCCCAAGUUCAAUAGAUUCUAGUGAAUAACAACAGAGAUGGUAACAUUUGAAAAAAAUCUGAAGGAGAUGAGGAAGUUUUCCAUGUCGCUAUCUACAGGAAGAACAUUCUUGGGAGAGGGAGCACCUUAAGGAUGUUUCAUACAUAUCUAGAGUAUAAAAGGGAUAAUAAAGAGGCUGGCAUGUCUCCAGUAGAAUACGUGAACUCAGAGAAAGGUAGUAGGACAUGCAAUCCGAGCUGUCCGAAAUAGGGGCAGGGCACCUGAAUAGAUAGGACCAUGAGGGCUGCUCUAAGGACUUUUUCGCUUUUCUUUUUAGUGAAAUGGGCCUGAACCAGUAGUGUCAGAGAUAAUCUGUCUUACAAUUUUAUUAUUUCUUUUAUUUUUUGGUACCAGGGAUCGAACUUGGGACUUUGCGCUUGCAAGGCAGGUGGCGGAACAACUGAGCUAAAUCCCCUGCCCCUGUCUUACAAUUUUAAAUAGCUGCAAUAGUGAAAUAGAAGCUACAGGUGUCAGGUAGAAGACUCAGGAUGCCAGUUAUAGGCUCUUACCAUUCUGAUUAUGUGUGCAAGAUGUUUGUGAUUUAAACAGAGUGGUAGCAGUGGAGGUGAAGUGGCCCACGUCUGUAGGGGACAGGGGAAGGGGACGUUACCAGAACCUCUGCAGUGAGUCCUGGUCUCCUGCGAGCCACGGCAGCACACGGCGAAUUACAGGAAAGGUAGAAAAAUGAGACCGAGAAGAAGCUGAGCUUUGGGUCUGAUCAGUGCUGCUCUGGGCAGCAAAGACAAAGCCCCCAGCUUACCACACCGUUUAUUCAGUACAUCAGGAGAAACAAAUGUAACAAAUGACUUGCAGAGAGUUCAACAGUUCACAUUGGGAUAAACAAGGUGUAACGGAAGGCUUGCAGAGAGUUCAGUACAUCUCCGGCAAACAAGAUGUUAAUCAGUCCAAGAACAAUGAGGAACUGAGCAGAUGUUUGUUCUCCCAGGAUGUUUCUUGUCCUGGAGAAUCACAGCAUUACUGGAUCACUGAAGUCUCAGUUGUGACCAGAGGCCAAACUGGAGUUAUUCUGUAGCUGGGCUGUAGGCAAGAGAACUAGGCUAACCAAAUGAUUUUUCCGUAGAAUUAUGUAGCAUUGCUCCCAACACACGUCUGGGUGUAUUUUAAAGGUAGAACAAAUUGUUUUUUUAAUAGGUUAGAGGUAGUAGGGAGUGAACAGACUGAGAUCUUUUCUUAUUUCAAGGGAAUUUUCCUAUAUACAUAUUUGUGAAUGCUUUUUGUCUUCCUUUUAUUUAGCCUUAUUAUUUGAGUCUCAAUAUUAAUUUGAGUGAUUUUUUCAUUUUUUGUAUUCCAGUAUUGUAAUUGUUUUAAUCUCUUUUUUUCUUCUGAAGGCUUUUCUUCAUUGUAUUCGUUCUAUUUUCAUCUGUGUUUAU